GCUGGACUGACCUUCAAAACCAAAGUUAGAGAAGGACUCAGUUAAUGUAUGUCUACAGACUUGUAACUUGAUUUUUAUAUAAGUGCUAAGCUAACUCUGUUUAAUUGAUUUUCCACAUUGUACACUGAGAAAUAGGAUUUUUAUGGCUCUUGAAUAAUUCAGAACUUUGAUUCCUAAGGCAAAAAAAAUGGGCAAGGAAUAAAAGCAUAAUUAUCAUUGUAGCAGAGGUCAAAAGGACAAGCUGGCCAUAAGUUCAUAAUGUGCUUGUGCUCUUGGACUCAUUGUGGACUGUGGAAUAAUACCUUGUUGAAAUCUUAUUACUUAAGGAAAAAAAAAGAAAAAGAAAAAAGCACACAGGCAGUUAGCUGCAAAAGAAAAGGAGGAAGUGUUAAUUUUUAAGCAAGUUUGACAAAGAUUGAGUUUCAUAUGACAAAUACUGUCAGCAAGACAGGAUUCUGUCAGUGGAAGAAGUUUAAACAUUAACAAUUUCUGUCAGGCUGUUGACACAACCACGGCAGACAUUUCCCAAGAUGCUGAGAUGACUGCUGGCAUUUGUCAACAAUCCUGUCACAGUGACAGCAAUAAGACCAUGUCUGGAAAUGUGACAGUUUUGGCUUUGUGUCCCCCUGAGCAUUGGCCCAGGUGUUCAGAGAAAGUGUGGGAAAAACCCGUAUUUCUGCAUUGUCAUUCGAACGCAGAAAAACACAGGAGGAAAAUGAGCUGUCACUCCAAUUCCCAUGAUGCCUUGCUGCUUAGCAUAACUCUACUCUGUGGCCCAGGGUCCACUGGUCCAUACUCUGACAGAUAAUUAAGAAAGCAGCAGCUUUUUCUAGACGGCUCUUCCUCAUGAUUUGCAUUUUAGCCAGAGGCGACCAGCUAUAAAAAAAACAUGAUGGAAAGAUGAUAAAAAAUUAGGAAAAAGAUAUAAAGCAAAUUCACAACAUUCUAAAGGCCAGGUUAUACUCAUCCAUGCUAAAUAGCAGUCGGGGGGGUUUCUACCGGAACAAAGUGGACCAGUCAUAUUAAUCAAGUAA